GACGAACGCUGGCGGCGUGCUUAACACACGCAAGUCGAACGGAAAGGCCCUGCUUUUGUGGGGUGCUCGAGUGGCUAACGGGUGAGUAACACGUGAGUAACCUGCCCUUGACUUUGGGAUAACUUCAGGAAACUGGGGCUAAUACCGGAUAGGAGCUCCUGCUGCAUGGUGGGGGUUGGAAAGUUUCGGCGGUUGGGGAUGGACUCGCGGCUUAUCAGCUUGUUGGUGGGGUAGUGGCUUACCAAGGCUUUGACGGGUAGCCGGCCUGAGAGGGUGACCGGCCACAUUGGGACUGAGAUACGGCCCAGACUCCUACGGGAGGCAGCAGUGGGGAAUAUUGCACAAUGGGCGGAAGCCUGAUGCAGCAACGCCGCGUGCGGGAUGACGGCCUUCGGGUUGUAAACCGCUUUCGCCUGUGACGAAGCGUGAGUGACGGUAAUGGGUAAAGAAGCACCGGCUAACUACGUG
rnacentral:rRNA from 1 species